UGAAGCUCGGCUGGCCCCUGUGGGGAGUGCAGGAGGCUGGGGGUCUACUCCCUACGGUUCCCAGAGAAAUGGUAGCAAGAAGACGGUGUUAUUUCUAAUUGGAUGAUGAAAGUCAGCCUAGGGGACAGAGACCAAAGGGCCAUACGUAAGAAGAGGAGGAAGUGAAAACAUCUGAAUCAAAGGUUGAGGUAAAACUGAGAGACAGUGUUUGCAGUGAACCAUGCAGUAACCUUCAUCUUGCCCCCUGGUCUUCAGGAAACAAGCAAGUGGGGAAGGACCGAAAGAGGGUACUAAAUUUCCAAAUGAUCAGACGUGAAGUUUCAUGGCCCAUAAUGGCUACACAUUUGAAGACUCAAGCAAAUAAAUUAGAAAUAAAGCCUACCAGCAAACCAAAAGAUAAUUACAUGUAAAAGCAAGUCUCCUUGAUUUCUGAUACUUGCACUUAUGAGAAUGAGAAAACAACGAUAGCACAGAGAGAUGGUGGACAUGGAGGACAGGUCCUGUAGGCUCACUUCAUGGGCUUUUUCAUACCCUGACCACUUUCCACGCUGGAUUCAUUUUACUGUAGUGAAACAAUUGGCUGUAGAUAAUGUUAAAAGAUAGGACUUUGGUAACAGGAGAAUUCAUGGAUUCUUGAAAUUCCUGAAUGGAACUGGCUCUCCAGAAGCUACUUGCAGCUCAAAAGAGAAAGAGAGAGAGAAAGCAAGCCAGAGAAACAUUUGAGGUCAUAUAACACUUUGUCUCCAAUGUUCUCAAGGCCUCCCUCUGUGCACAGACCUCACUUUGAAAUUACCACCUGUCACAGGCCUAGCAAAUCCCCUCACCAGAGACCAUGUCUAAUUCUUUGUUUUAAAGGGCACUCGAUGGUUUUCUCCAGAGAAGUCAUCAUCAUCAGUGGCAGCAACAUCCUACUUUAUUUACACAGCUUAGCAUAGGACCAUCCCCACAAUAUAACAAGAAAGAUUUGACCCUGUGGGCUUUUUCCUGUUCUAAAUUUUCUCCUUUUGCUUGGACAAAAGGUCCAUCAUUUCUGAGAAAAAAAAAGGGAGGAUGGGGCUGGGUAAGGAGACUGCCACAGUAACAGCGUAAUGCUAUUAGUCUGAAUUCUCCCAUGACGGAGCCCUCGCUGGGAAAGACAAUUACAGGCAAAAGGGUGAUAACCUCACGAGGCAAUAACCUCCUGAGAGAUCCUGUGCCACAUGUACAGGUUAUUAAUUUCAGGGAAGGAGCCAAACUUCAGGGGCCCUCUCAGAACCGACUCUUUCAAGGUUUGCCCAUCUCUAAUGAGCUGGGUCUUUUUUGCGAUUGUCUAACCACACGAUUUCCUUAAUUCUUAGCUGGUUGCAUAAUGGCAAAGAUAAAUGUGGCUUUUUCCAGCUGCUUCUAAAAUAGGUUCAAGGUUGAAUUAAUAUGAAUGGAAAUACUUUCUGUUCAUGUAAAGGGUUGGAAGAAACCGUAUGUGUGGGAUUUGCUGAUACCUGCUAAAAUGUACACUGUGUGUCCUACAUGGAGGACACAAGACGGGCAGAGGUGGAAUAAUGACUUAUAGGAGCCCCAAAGUCCUAAGACGGUGAAAUUCCACCAAAUUUAUUCCAUUUCAGCAGGAGCUAGAAUAUUCCAAAAUUCAAAAAAAUGGACUUAGUUAUAAAGGAAUCUUUUCAGAAGUCUUGACUCUCAUCACAUACUCAAUGUUAAUUACCAUUUGUGUGUAGAACGGUGUGAAUUAAAACUAAAGAAACAAACAAAAAACUUGCCUUGUUAUUCUGCCAAAGGACCCCAUAAUCUAAUGAGGGAGAAGUGGCACCUGCAGACCAAAGAACACACAAGAUUUCGAAGGUGGUUAUUCCAAGUGAAAACACACAACUGAAAAAGUCCAUGAGGACUGAGUGGAAAUUGACAAGAACAAGGGGAGUUCAUCAGGAACAACUUUUCCAGGAAAACUUGAGGUUCAGAUUUGAGAGGAUAAUAUGGCUGGAUGAAUAGGAGAAAAUAAGCUACUCCAGAGGAAAUGAAGGAAGUUAAGACAUGGAAUCACAAUCCAUUUCACCUCUUUGUUCUUUUCUUUUAACCUUAACUGCAACCUUCCCCAUAGUAAGCAGAGGAAGAGUAGAUAUUGUUUCUGUGGUUAAGUUACAGAAAGUGUGUUGCUUGCUAGGUACUGCAAAGUAUUUUUCUGUUAGUGACAAGCAAAUCAUAUCAAAUUGUUCAAACUCAAUUUCAACUCUUAUAAGAGGAUAGACAUGGGUUUUGAGGAAAUGGUUAUCAUUUGCCUUGUUAUUACCUCAUCUUUGAGCCCCAACAUGUGCCUUUACUACUUAUCCCAGUGAUUCUUUCAAAAAAUUAUUUAAUAAAUCAAAAUAUUCCAUAAGUCAAAAUAUCUUCAGGUUGCGGAUUUACCUUUGACUUUCAUCUUAACCAAUUGUUUAAAAUUCCCCCAUUCUCCUCUCAUCUAUUGUGUAUAAAUUCAGAUUAAAAUGUAGUUAAAUUCAUUAAUGCUCAUUAUUUAUGUGUCUAAGACUGAUACUAAUAAUGACAACCAUGUAUUCGACACUUUCCAAACUGCAGGCCGUAGGCUCAGUCCUUUGUUUUGUUAGUUUAUUUAAUCAUGGGAAAAAUGAGACACAGAGUGACUGAGCAAUUUGCCUGGAAUCACACAACUAAUACGUGGUAGAGUGAGGACUCAAAGUCUUGCUUUUGGCCCCCAGGCUGGAGUGCGAUGGCGUGAUCUCAGCUCACUGCAACCUCUGCCUCCCAGGUUCAAGCAAUUCUCCUGCCUCGAUCCCCCGAGUAGCUGAGAUUACAGGAGCCUGCCACCAUGCCCGGCUAAUUUUUGUAUUUUUAGUAGAGACGGGUUUCACUAUGUUGGCCAGUCUGGUCUAGAACUCCUGACCUCAGGUGAUCUACCCGCCUCGGCCUCCCAAAGUGCUGGGAUUACAGGUGUGAGCCACGGCGCCUGGCCAGCGUUCUUCUCAUUCUUCAUAGAGAUCUCCACGUCAAUCAAACUGCUUAUACCCAUGCAUGACUUCAUUAUAUGUAUUUUUAAAUGUUCUUAUACAAAUAUUUUUAUCCCUUCAUCAAGA
rnacentral:lncRNA from 1 species